UGAAAAAGGCAAAACUGCCGUGAGGCAGUGACGCAAAGCCACAGGGUCUUCUGUAUUUGGAAGACAGCCGGUUACCGC
rnacentral:ncRNA from 1 species